CCUACGGGAGGCAGCAGUGAGGAAUAUUGGUCAAUGGACGAGAGUCUGAACCAGCCAAGUAGCGUGAAGGAUGACUGCCCUAUGGGUUGUAAACUUCUUUUAUAAAGGAAUAAAACGAGGCACGUGUGCCUUUUUGCAUGUACUUUAUGAAUAAGGCUCGGCUAACUCCGUGCCAGCAGCCGCGGUAAUACGGAGGAUCCGCGCGUUAUCCGGAUUUAUUGGGUGGAAAGGGAGCGUAGAUGGGUUGUUAAGUCAGUUGUGAAAGUUUGCGGCUCAACCGUAAAAUUGCAAUUGAUACUGGCAGUCUUGAGUACAGUUGAGGUAGGCGGAAUUCGUGGUGUAGCGGUGAAAUGCGUAGAUAUCACGAAGAACCCCGAUUGCGAAGGCAGCUUACUAAACUGUGACUGACAUUGAGGCGCGAAAGUGUGGGUAGCAAACAGGAUUAGAUACCCGUGUAGUC
rnacentral:rRNA from 1 species